rnacentral:lncRNA from 12 species
GACAUUUUAAGCCGCCGAGCUUGUGCUUAUUCGUCACAGCAAUGGCAAGAAACUCAUAGACGCCAUCUGUGAUGGGAGAGGCAACCUGGUUGUCACGCUCUUGCUGGCUUCCCCCAGGUCCUCAUUCCAUCUUGGCCUCUAUGAGUCUGAAGCCUUCGGUCAACUGUGGCUUAGCAGAAUGGCACCCGCUCGAGAAGAGGGAGUGAGACCAGGUGACCUUUAAAUGAUCUUGUUGACUUUGAUGGUCAAGGACAGCGUCAGACAAACUGUGGUCCCCGGAUUGGUGCUGGUGUGUGAGCUGCUGGGAAGAGAGCAUCCGCCCUGCCCUACCCCACCUGCUGGCUCCACCUCCUGGGGGGAGGAGCGAAAGAAACGUAGCGUCGAGGUCCGCACACCCCCAUUCUCCGACCCCGUGCCCGGGAAGCGUGUGAUGUCUUCUCGUAACUCCCGAGAGUUGCUGGGCCUCCUGCUUCCAGGACCGGCUCCGCUCCGUGAUCCUGUGUCUGGACGCGUUAUUUUCACUUUUCUUCACGUCCGUCGAGCGCGGAUUCCAGCCGCCUCCCUCGGUGCCCCCGCCAGCCGCACGGGCGCUUGCACACGAGCCGGGAACCCGAGGUGCAGGGCGGGUGGGCAGGGCCCAGGUGCUCUCUGCCACGGGUGGCCUCCUGCCUAUUUCCCCUCCCUCUUCCUUUCCUGGCGGAUUUCUCACGCGUGACCAUUCUUCUCUGGAUUCACAGGAGAGGUCUCUCUUUUGUCUCACUCGGGAGAGUUUCCACGUUUAGCCCACGUCUUCCCAAA